UCAAUUUCAUAUUUUUGUCAAAGCCUUGCAAGAGGAUGAGCCUGAUGGAAAGGGACUAUACAUGAUUUAGGAUGUCGAUUUUCUACAACAGUUUUAUCUGCAGUUUUUACAAGACUUUUACAUUUAAGGACAGAGAGGAAGAAGAAUGUGCUGUCCAUCACUGUAAGCUAACAGUCCUCUUAACCGCCUCUCUAAACAAAUGUUUAAAAGAAAAAAGGGGAUAAAACACUGCAAUUCUGUGAGACAAGAGACACAUCAUGUAUGUCUGUGGAGCACAAAAAAACUCAUACUUGAUUUAGCAAAAAAUGACAACCAUUUAAAAUACAAUCUUCCUAGAAUUGUAACCUAAAAGCUCAUUCACAAACUAGCAAAAGGCUAAAGGGUUUGACGCCUGUCCUCUCCACCAGUGGAGUCUGAACUGCGAUGGGAUGAGCUGCUCUCCAUGGGGGAGCACCAUAUUCACACCACUGCUGACCUGAGACUUCCUUGUCAUCAGCAGGGGUGAAACACUGCAGCCCUUGUUCAGAGAGCAGCCAACAAGGAGAGGCCAUGGAAAGAACAGAGGGGCAGACAGAAGAGAGAGUGGAGAAAGAGAAGAAGACCUCCAGUAGGGAGAGAGGUAGUGCUUCCAGGGCAUAUGGUGUGUGUGUGCAUGAGUGUGAAAGAUAGAGCCAUGUGUCCAUAUGUGUUGCUGGGAGUGCCCGUGCUCUCGUUCCCCCAUCCAACCUCCCAACUCGUCGAUGCACAACAUGUCUGCUCGCUCCCUUUUCAUUUGAACACAUUUACUAGCCCCAAAUUUCACUUCAAUCUCACCUCAUCUCUCCAUACUACAUUAACCCCUGGCAAUUGCCUUCCAAAUGACCCCAUUAAGCCGUAAUUGCCUCAGCAGGCCCGCUCCCUCGCUUGUAAUUCUGUGCUGCUCGCCCACCAGACGUUCCCCCGGCAUUGUUUCAUGUUCUGGCUCCCAUCAGUGAGUUCAGAUGCUGACCCCCCCCGCCAUCGUGGCCGGAGCCACCGCUCCACUCACUGACCGCUAGCUAACAGUGGCACUGUCAGAUGACUACUACCCCCCCACGCCACAGUGAGCUCACACACACUGGAGGCACCAUGCAUUCACUUCCUCCUCAAUGACCAGACACACAACCGAUUUGAUUGACAACCUUGCAGAUGAUACAGGAGCCAUUCAUUGACGAUCAAUGACUCUGAAC